CUACGGGGCGCUGCAGUCGAGAAUCUUUUGCAAUGGGCGAAAGCCUGACAAUGCGACGCCGCGUGAGCGAUGAAGGUCUUCGGAUUGUAAAGCUCUGUUGUGGGGGAUGAAAAUGUUUGAGGUUAAUAAUCUCAAACAUUGACAGUACCUCAAGAGGAAGCCACGGCUAACUCCGUGCCAGCAGCCGCGGUAAUACGGAGGUGGCAAGCGUUGUUCGGAUUGAUUGGGUGUAAAGGGCAUGUAGGCGUCCUGGUAAGUCGAAUGUGAAAUCCCGCAGCUCAACUGCGGAACUGCAUUCGAAACUGCCGGGAUUGAGUACGGAAGGGGAGAAUGGAAUUCCCGGUGUAAGAGUGAAAUCUGUAGAUAUCGGGAGGAACACCAGUGGCGAAGGCGAUUCUCUGGGCCGAUACUGACGCUGAAAUGCGAAAGCUAGGGGAGCAAACAGGAUUAGAUACCCUAGUAGUC
rnacentral:rRNA from 1 species